AUUAGGUUUUAGAGACAGAAAAGAGAUCAGAGCUUCAAACACCUGCUGAGAACAUCAACAUGAAUCGUGUGUUUCUGGUCCUGGGCUUCGUCCUGAUCAUGGCGCUCUACUCAGACGCUCAGUACGCUAUGAUACCUUAUGCAGAAGUUUGCUGUUUCAACUUCUACGAUGGAAAAAUUCCUUCCAAAGACGUCCAGGAGAUUAAACGGACAGGCUCACACUGUCCACAUCAAGGCUUCAUAACCUAUAAAAGUUUUUGGAGAAGUCGAGCCUUGCUGUUUAAGCUUCUUCGAUGGACAAAUUCCUCCCAAAGACAUCCUGCAGGUUAAACCGACAGGCUCACACUGUCCACAGAAAGGCUGCAUUGUUACUACUCCUAAAUAUCCCAAUCUGUGUGUUCGUGAAGUCGUCGUCAAUGGCUGAACACCUUAAGGCUGCAACUCAGAUCACACUGCAACACACAGACACACACAUAUGCAUGCACACACAUGCAUGCACACACACACACACACACACACACACACACACACACACACACACACACACACACACACACACACACACACACACACAAACUUAUUUACUAAAGUUUAAGCUUAGCCAUUUCUUAACCACAUUUAUCAACCAUUUAUUAUGAUGCUAAAUGUUGUUAUUGUUGCUUAAUGUAGUGCAGAUUCAAAUAAAGUUAUCAUUGCACCACUGA